rnacentral:rRNA from 1 species
GGAUCUCGAAAGCCUGUCCCAGUUGGACUGGAGUCUGCAACCCGACUCCACGAAGUUGGAUUCGCUAGUAAUCGCGCAUCAGCCAUGGCGCGGUGAAUACGUUCCCGGGCCUUGUACACACCGCCCGUCAAGCCAUGGGAGCCGGGGGCGCCUGAAGUCCGGGACCGCGAGGACCGGCCUAGGGCGAAACUGGUAACUGGGGCUAAGUCGUAACAAGGUACC